UGGAGUGAAAUAUGAGAUUACAACUAUAUUCACGACGUGAAAUAGGGGAUUACACUGUUUUUAAAACGGAAAGUGAAUCAAUUAACAUAAUAGACUCCU
rnacentral:pre_miRNA from 1 species